rnacentral:tRNA from 1 species
GGGCCCGUGGCUCAGCCUGGUCAGAGCGCCCGCUGAUAAGCGGGAGGUCCGGGGUUCGAAGCCCCGCGGGCCCACCA